UAUGGCGAGGCCGCUCCUUAUAUGGUGAGCCCCAGCGCCCCCGCCCUAUUGGUCGGCGGUUCCGGCACCUCCGUCUCCCAUUGGCCCGCCUUAGGGGGGGGCCGUUCAUUUGCAUUGGCAUACCAGGCCAGCUGCUGUCAUUCUAGCGUCAGGCCGAGGCGCGGAGUCCGGAGGGUCCGGCGUCUCUUAAAGAGACAGGAGUUUGGAGCGAGUACGGUCUCCGCCCCCUCCGCACGAAAGAGCCCUGCAUUUGAGAUUCAGAAAACCUUAAGUCACAGCCUCUGAACACCAGCUUCCUGAUGUGUAAUAUGAGGAUAAUGAAGCAAAACCUAACAGGAUUCUUUAAAGCUUGUAUAAAUGUAAGUUAUUACCCAUAUUGUCUGAUGUUUUAAACCCUUUUUCUAGCAAGGUCAUACUUGGGAUUCUCAGCUUUAACCAAGGAAAUGAGAGAAUGUGACACUUCCCUGUUCAACCCUCUUUUCCUCCUCUUUAGGUUACAGUGAGGUUUUCCAACAGACAUCAGCAGACCCAAGCAUGGGGUACAGGAUCACAGAACUGAAGCUAGAAGGGACCUCAGAGGCCAUCUGAUUUCCAUCUGUCCCUUUCCCAUUUUACAGAUGAAGAAAUGAGACCCAGAGGUGUUAAAUGAAUUUGCCCAAGGUGGUCACAAAAGGUAUAUCAUGGUAAAUUUGAACUCAGGUUCUCUGAUACCUGCAUUUAGUGCUCUUUUGACUACACUAUACUGGUGGGGUGUGUGUGUGUGUGUGUGUGUGUGCAUAUGCAAGUGUGCACUUGUGGCUUAAUCAUGGCCAAAUUUCACUCCAGCUUCCCUGGAGUGGAUCAUAACAGCUUCUAGCUGGGGCCCCCACAUUCCUUCCCUGGAGCUUCUCAUAUCCCUGAGAUAAUGUGGUUAAACACUUUUCUGAAGUAGUGGUGUAGUGACCACGAGGUUUUUUUUUUCCCCUUUUCUUUUUUCUUUCCUAAAGUGCUUUGAAAACACAGGAUUUUAAUACUUCCAAAGAGUCACAGAACUUAAAUCUAGGUUCCAGGUUUAGACUUUAGUCCAAUCUCAUUAUUUUACAGAUAAGGAAACAGAUAGAGGGGAAAGUGGUUUGUCUGAAUCAUUAAACAGCGGCCCCAGAAUCCAGGUUGAGUCCAAAUCCAAUGACCUUUCCACUGACCCAAACUGAGAUCUCUUGCAACACUGUAGUUAUUAUAUACACCUUAUCAACUCUUCCAUGUCCUCCUAUAAACUCUCCACAGGGAUUCCACUCAGUGAAGCUAGCGGCCUUACUCUGGACCCUUCAGCAUUUUGUAAGGACUAGAUCUAUCUCUAUCUGUUGUUAUGCUUUACUUGGCUACUUGGUUCAUUUAAUUUUUCUUCUGCCACUUUUUUCAAUAAAGAGCACCAA
rnacentral:lncRNA from 1 species